rnacentral:rRNA from 1 species
CCUACGGGAGGCAGCAGUGAGGAAUAUUGGUCAAUGGGCGGAAGCCUGAACCAGCCACGCCGCGUGAAGGAUGACUGUCCUACGAAUUGUAAACUUCUUUUAUAAAGGAGUAAAAGCAGUCUCGCGUGCCUUUUUGAAUGUACUUUAGGAAUAAGCAUCGGCUAACUCCGUGCCAGCAGCCGCGGUAAUACGGAGGAUACGAGCGUUUUCCGGAUUUAAUGGGUUUAAAGGGUGCGUUGGUUGGUUGUUAAGUUAAUUGUGAAAGAUUGCGGCUCAACCGUAAAAGUGCAAUUGAUACUGGAAGUCUUGAGUACAGCUGAGGUAGGCGGAAUUCGUGGUGUAGCGGUGAAAUGCUUAGAUAUCACGAAGAACUCCGAUUGCGAAGGCAGCUUACU